rnacentral:ncRNA from 1 species
GUUUCAGGGCGGAGUGAAAUUCUCCACCGGUGGUAAUAAAGGGUUACCUUUUAGUCCACGAGCUUUGCUGACUCUGGUGUGAUUCCAGGACCGACGGUAUAGUCCGGAUGAAAGAAA